rnacentral:rRNA from 1 species
UACGAAGGGGACUAGCGUUGUUCGGAAUCACUGGGCGUAAAGGGUGCGUAGGCGGGUUUUUAAGUCAGGGGUGAAAUCCUGGAGCUCAACUCCAGAACUGCCUUUGAUACUGAAGAUCUUGAGUCCGGGAGAGGUGAGUGGAACUGCGAGUGUAGAGGUGAAAUUCGUAGAUAUUCGCAAGAACACCAGUGGCGAAGGCGGCUCACUGGCCCGGUACUGACGCUGAGGUGCGAAAGCGUGGGGAGCAAACAGG